CUACGGGAGGCAGCAGUGGGGAAUAUUGGGCAAUGGGCGCAAGCCUGACCCAGCAACGCCGCGUGAGGGAAGAAUGUCUUCGGAUUGUAAACCUCUGUCCUUGGGGACGAAAAAAAUGACGGUACCCAAGGAGGAAGCUCCGGCUAACUACGUGCCAGCAGCCGCGGUAAUACGUAGGGAGCGAGCGUUGUCCGGAAUUACUGGGCGUAAAGGGUGCGUAGGCGGCUAUGCAAGUCAGAUGUGAAAUACCCGGGCUUAACUCGGGGGGUGCAUUUGAAACUGCAUGGCUUGAGUGCAGGAGAGGAAAGCGGAAUUCCUAGUGUAGCGGUGAAAUGCGUAGAUAUUAGGAGGAACACCAGUGGCGAAGGCGGCUUUCUGGACUGCAACUGACGCUGAGGCACGAAAGCGUGGGGAGCAAACAGGAUUAGAUACCCCCGUAGUC
rnacentral:rRNA from 1 species